rnacentral:rRNA from 1 species
GUCUACAGCCAUACCACCCUGAAGGCGCCCAAUCUCAUCUGAUCUCAAAAGCUAAGCAGGUGCGGGCCUGAUUAGUACUUGAAUGGGAGACAGAUCUUCAGAAGAGACU